AAGUCGUAACAAGGUUUCCGUAGGUGAACCUGCGGAAGGAUCAUUAAAGAGUUAGGGUCUUCACAGGCCCGACCUCCCAACCCUUUGUCUAUUGAACUCUUGUUGCUUCGGCGGGCCCGUCCUCGCGACCGCCGGAGGGCCGACUUUCGGUCCUCUGGCCCGCGCCCGCCGGUGGCCAAACCUACAAAACUCUUGAAUGAAUCGUGUCUAUGUCUGAGUAUUAUAUUAAAAUAAAAGCAAAACUUUCAACAACGGAUCUCUUGGUUCUG
rnacentral:misc_RNA from 1 species